rnacentral:rRNA from 1 species
UACGUAGGGGGCAAGCGUUGUCCGGAAUCAUUGGGCGUAAAGCGCGUGUAGGCGGCUCGGUAAGUCUGCUGUGAAAGUCCAGGGCUCAACCCUGGGAUGCCGGUGGAUACUGUCGAGCUCGAGUCCGGAAGAGGCGAGUGGAAUUCCUGGUGUAGCGGUGAAAUGCGCAGAUAUCAGGAGGAACACCAAUGGCGAAGGCAGCGCGCUGGGACGUGACUGACGCUGAGACGCGAAAGCGUGGGGAGCAAACAGG